rnacentral:lncRNA from 1 species
CUCCUUGCCUUUAAGGAUUUUCAUAGCAUGCAAAAGGUUAUUGCCACUCAAAGAUGCAAGAUUCGUGGUUUGGAAAUAUGACAGCAACCCAGAGGAAAAAAUGCCAAUCUUUUUACAAGAGAAGCAACAAGAUAAACAACGCAUAACAAUGAGAGACUCUCCCUUGGUGUGCUGUUAGUAGAUUCUUCUACGGAUCGUAAAGGGUAGAGUGGUGCCUUUACCAGUCAAAUCUUGCCUAAAUGAAAUUGAGCCGGCUUUAAACAACCUUCACAGUUCAGGGCUCCAGUAGGAGUUUUAGGUAGAUAUUAGUCAUGAAAAGGAAAAAAAGUUAAAAGAGUAAAACAGGGGCAC